rnacentral:rRNA from 1 species
AGUAGUUUGAUCAUGGCUCGAGGACGAACGCUGGCGGCGUGCUUAACACAUGCAAGUCGAGCGGGGACAUGAGGGAAUAAGCUUCGGCAGAAAGAAUCAUGUUCUAGCGGCGGACGGGUGAGUAACGCGUGAGCAAUCUGUCCCAGACAGGGGGAUAACACUUGGAAACAGGUGCUAAUACCGCAUAAGACCACGAGGCGGCAUCGUCUUGGGGUAAAAGGGGAGACUCGGUUUGGGGUGAGCUCGCGUCCGAUUAGCUGGUUGGUGAGGUAACGGCCCACCAAGUCGACGAUCAGUAGGGGUUCUGAGAGGAAGGUCCCCCACAUUGGUACUGAGACACGGACCAAACUCC